rnacentral:rRNA from 1 species
AACGAACGCUGGCGGCAGGCUUAACACAUGCAAGUCGAGCGGGUGUAGCAAUACAUCAGUGGCAGACGGGUGAGUAACACGUGGGAACCUUCCUCGUUGUACGGAACAACUCAGGGAAACUUGAGCUAAUACCGUAUACGUCCGAGAGGAGAAAGAUUUAUCGCAAUGAGACGGGCCCGCGUCGGAUUAGCUGGUUGGUAAGGUAACGGCUUACCAAGGCGACGAUCCGUAGCUGAUCUGAGAGGAUGAUCAGCCACACUGGGACUGAGACACGGCCCAGACUCCUACGGGAGGCAGCAGUGGGGAAUCUUGGACAAUGGGCGCAAGCCUGAUCCAGCCAUGCCGCGUGAGUGAAGAAGGCCUUCGGGUUGUAAAGCUCUUUUGUCAGGGGCGAUAAUGACGGUACCUGAAGAAUAAGCCCCGGCAAACUUCGUGCCAGCAGCCGCAGUAAAAC